rnacentral:lncRNA from 1 species
ACUCUGUUCUCCCUCCCCCAGGCACACAGAUUCUCCCUCCACUUGCUGCUGCUGGAGGGUAAGGGAGAAGUGCUGUAUACAGGGCAGGCCUGCCUUUCCUAACCCCAUCGGUGCCUCUUUCCUUGAUAUGAUGUCAGAAUCAGGAGAAAAACAAGGAGAGAAAAAUCUAAACCCAGCAGAAGAGAAAGUUUAAGAAAGCGGUCGUCGCCAAUACCAAAAUUAGCUAUGAUAUUCAGGAAGAAAAAAAUGGAAACACGAUAACCACAGUCAAUAAAGACCAAGGCCACAUUCCAUUGACCAGAGCUCAGCCACGCGCCACACCUGGCUAAAGAGACUCUGGCUGAAGAAUUCCCUGAAUAUUUUAAUGUAGCUCUAGGUUAUAACACAGAACAACCACAAGGUGGCAGAAGAACUCCAUUCUUGUAAAUCUCUUAGUUGCUUCUUUAUUUCAUCUUCCCUAUUCCAUCUAAUGUUCCCUGAAUUUUACUAUUUUGUUGGUUUGAAAAUAUGUGUGACUUACGUCCUUUAAAGGAUUUGGUUCGUAAGGUUUUGAAUAGACUGGAAUAUAAAACAUUUAUAGAAAAGAAAAAUACCUACAGUAUGAUGUUAGUGAACUAUUAAUAAUCCAAUUAAAUAAAAUAUAUUUGCUUUGGAUUAAUACAUAUUUUGUUUUGAUGUUUGCUAAAUAAAACUAAGCAUUAGGAGGCCAAAUAGCCACAAUGAACAUUUUCAUAUUAUUUAAUAAGCCAGUUUCAAGGCAUACAUGCUAAAUUUGUUCUUAAGGAAAAGUUGAAUUUUUGCUUUCAUGAAAUUACAAACUCUAAGGCAAUUUUACACGUGUAAAUCCAAUGUGUUCUGAAGUUUAAAGUGUCAAAGGCUGUUGGAUUUAAACAGAUCUUGUAUGACUCUCUGUUUCAUCUCUUCAGAGGUUGAUAGUAAGCAACUUUGGCAGCAACUCACAGCUUCUGCUGUAACAUGAGGCUAAUAAUGACGACUUUAUAAGGUUGUUGCAAAGAGUCAGGGAUGCCACAAGCAACGUUCUUUAUAUAUGCAGAAUUUUAAAAAUAAAGUAAAUAAAAAUAUUCCUUCCUCUAUUCCCCAUUUUUCUAACAUUAUUUGCAACUGGUGUUUUAAUGCAAGACCAAAGGCUAAAAUAUACAUGUAGCUAGCAGAAUCAAAACCUAGAUCAGAUGUUCAAAAGCAUCAUGCUGCUAAAAGAUUUCAGAGUCUAAAACCUGUGCUCACUCUUCUGAAACAUCUUUCCACUUCCUGUUUAAAAAAAAACGUGAUAUUCUUUGAAGCUCAUUUUUUGGGCUUCAUGUGUUGUAAUUAUACAUUUGUUAUAUAGGGUAUAUGAUGACUUACGCUCUAAGGUAUUAUUCAGUACAUUGUAGAAAAAGGAGAAUAAAGAAUGUUGUUUGUCAGUAGGCAGCUCUGUCCUCUUUAUCCUUGACUGUAAUUUACUAAAGAGCUGACAAAAUUACAGCACAGGCAGCAAUUCACCAUAUUACCCUGCAGACAGCCAAGAGACUGACAUUGAGAUGAUGCGUUUUAACUUGGGUCCAUGUAAGGAACCUGAUGGGGUUAUAUGAAUUCUUUUCUGUACUAUGAAAAAAUGAAGUUGCUAAUAAGAAGGAGGUACAAAAGUGUGUACUCUGCGCAAGGCUACUGAUAAAGAUGCUACAGGGAUGCGUGGAAACCCAAUAUGUAACACUGAAAUGGCUUUUGAUUCAUU